UGGGGAAUUUUGGACAAUGGGGGCAACCCUGAUCCAGCAAUGCCGCGUGUGUGAAGAAGGCCUUCGGGUUGUAAAGCACUUUUGUCCGGAAAGAAAACUUCGGGGCUAAUACCCCUGGAGGAUGACGGUACCGGAAGAAUAAGCACCGGCUAACUAAGUGCCAGAAGCCGCGGUAAUACGUAGGGUGCGAGCGUUAAUCGGAAUUACUGGGCGUAAAGCGAGCGCAGGCGGUGCUGUAAGACCGAUGUGAAAUCCCCGGGCUUAACCUGGGAACUGCAUUGGUGACUGCAGCGCUGAAGUAUGGCAGAGGGGGGUGGAAUUCCACGUGUAGCAGUGAAAUGCUUAGAGAUGUUGAGGAACACCGAUUGCGAAGGCAGCCCCCUUGGCCAAUACUGACUCUCAUGCACGAAAGCGUGGGGAGCAAACAGG
rnacentral:rRNA from 1 species